rnacentral:lncRNA from 1 species
UAAUAGAUAAGGGGUGACAUAUGUUUGAACUGAUUUACAGAGGAGAAACACUAGAUACAUUUGGUGAUAAAAGAUUUUCUACAUUUAAUAAAGUAAUGUUAACUAUUAAUGUCAUCACUGGAGUUAGUACUCACACAUCACUAUUCUUUUCUCUGAUCACUUUCUCAAUCCUACCUCAUCAUGUGACCAAAACAUGUCUAUUUGAGUUGAAAGUGUUUUUGCCAUGUUAGACACUUUCCUGCUAAGAGACAGGAUAUUGAGCAAACUUCUUAAUAAGUUAGUGUUGCUAUUUUAUUUAUAUAUGUAUAUAUACCUACACAUAUACACACACACAUUAUUUUGCUGUGGCUACUUUUAAUUUUAUAGAAUCCAUUUUUGUUGAGGCCCUCCUCAUAGGCAGUUAUUU